rnacentral:misc_RNA from 1 species
UCUCCGUUGGUGAACCAGCGGAGGGAUCAUUACAGGACUCGCAAGACUCCUACAACCCUGUGAACUUAACUAUAAGCACGUUGCUUCGGCGGGUGUCUCGGAGGGGGUUCUCCCUCCCCGAGACGCUAAACCCGCCGGCAGCCUACUAUACUCUGUCUCUUGCGUUGGCAUCUCGAGUACAAUCAAACAAGUUAAAACUUUCAACAACGGAUCUCUUGGUUCUG